CUGCACUCCAGCCUGGGUGACAGAGCGAGACUCCGUCUCAAAAAAAGUCUACUAAAAAAAAUGUAGAAACAACUUUGGAAAUGGGUAACAGGAAGAGAUUAGAACAGUUUGGAGGGCUCAGAAGAAGUCAGGAAAAUGUCUUCCUGAUGUUGUUGUGAUAGUGAGUGAGUGCUCAUGAGAUCUGAUGGUUUUAUAAGGGAUUUUUUCCUCUUGGUUCUGCACUUCUCCUUCCUGCUGCCACAUGAAGAAGGACAUGCUUGCUUCCCAUUCCACCAUGAUUGUAAGUUUCCUGAGGCCUCCCCAGCCAUGCUGAACUGUAAGUCAAUUAAUCUUCUUUCCUUUACACAUUAGCCAGUCUUAAGUAUGUCUUUAUUAGCAGUGUGAGAAUGCACUAAUACAAUAUUAAAUGAGAAAAAGAAGCAAAGAGAACAUAAUAGUGCCAGGCCAAAUGAAAAUAUUUAUUAUCAUUAUUGUCAUCAGUAUUUUAACCAUUGUUUUAAAAACUAUAUUAAAAAAUACAAAUUAUGCUUUUUUAUAUUUAUGAUCCCUGAAAAUCUGAGAACCCAAACUAGGUACCGUUAAACCAACUUGAUUCUAAAAUUUCAAGUAGCUCUCAGAUUCUGUGACUAUACGUGACUUAAAGUGAAAAAAAAUUACUUAUGUCUUCUUCACAUCCAUACAAUCCCUCAUAUUUUGAUUAGGCAUAGCUGUCUAUAUGACAACCAUGGUUCAGUAAGAAGAUAAUCCAAAAAUGAUAGUCCCAGGAUAAGCCAAAUAAAUACAUAAACUCUAGUGAUUUUAUUUGUUUCUUUUCAUCAUCUCAGAGCCUAGCUGUGUCCAGCAUGUAGUUGGCAUCUAUAAAUAUUGAUUGAUUGAAUGAAGUAGCAUGGGCCUUCGGAGAUCUAGGAAGAAUGACAUAAGUUGCUUAAGGUUUCUCCAAAUGAACUAGUAUUUACAUGACUCCGGCACUUGUUCUAUUGCCUACAACAGGAAGAUUGAGAUGGGCCACUAUGAGCCAUGGAAAAAGAGGACUGAGAAUAAACCACAGAGAUUGCAAUGGAAGCAGAGACAUCUUAAUACUUUCAACACCAGAGGAAGACCAGUGUGUCUUCAAUCUUUUAAAGAAGUUGGAAGAGGUGAGAAACUCCAUCUGAUAAGAAAACAGAAUCUUUAAGAAGUGGACUUGCUGAUGGUCACAGGGCUAGCGAAAGGUAUAUAUAUUCAAGUGGAGGAAAUAGAACACACAUGCGAGAGAAUCACUUUCUGAGAGAGCUGAAGACUAUUUGAUGGACCACCAUAAAUUUCAUCAAAGGAAACAGAGCAGAGAAUUGACCAAUAACAAACAGCUGGAAAUGAAAGAACUGUGGGCAAGUGACGGAGGUGAGAGAAGAUUGAAGAUAC
rnacentral:lncRNA from 1 species